AGUACUCCUUUCCCUUGGUACCUUGUCCUGGGAUCGGGGUGUUACACACAGUCUUUUCAGGCUUUAGAGACACUUCACACGCUGGAUGAGGUAAACUGACUUGCUCUUUUAUUGAGGUUCCAAAAGAAAUGCACAGUAAGGUAUAAAGGUAACAAAAAUAUAUCAAACAAAAGCCUUGCUCUUCUGAGCACUAACUAAACAAAAUAAUCAGCUAACUGGGUUGGAUGGCUUGUCCAUUUCCCAACAUAAACAUAAACAUAAACAGCCUUACUGCUUCAGGGUUUUCAGCUCUCUGUUUCCACUCACAGAAACCAAACACAAUCUUGCACCAACCUUAUUAGAGAGCAACGCUCUGCUAUCUAACCUGUUGCUUUCCUUUCUGCACUCCCAG